AAGGAUGUUCCACAUAAUAGAGUCGGUGUCACCUUUUGGCCAAACUAUAAAAAUGAUGAAAGAGUCGACAGGGCAGUAAGGAAAGCUGAGGAGCCUGGACCUGACUGGCAAAGCUACGAUGUCAGAGUUGUUAAGUCAUUUGAUCAUUACUUUGAGGCACGUCAUCUCUUAAAAAAUCUGCAGAUUUACAGUCAGAAGAGGAAGAGAAGGAAGUUCAAUCAAAGAGAAGGCUAAAGCCGAUUCAUUUCUUUGGGGACUCCGAUGAUGACAGUGAGGAGGAAAGUCCUCUAAAAAAGAGAGCCAGAGGUCCAGCCAAACCCUCACCACAGCCACCAGCUCCCAUUAUCCCACCCCCACCUCGCUGUGUGCCAAGUAGCGUGACAGUUGCCCUUCCUCCACCCGUUGCUCCUCCUUCACCCACUCCACCAGCAGUAGAGCAAACCCCUUCUUCAAGCCAGGUCUACAGACCUACCUGGCAAGGGGGAAGGUGUGGAUCAG